UGGGGAAUAUUGGACAAUGGGGGCAACCCUGAUCCAGCCAUGCCGCGUGUGUGAAGAAGGCCUUUUGGUUGUAAAGCACUUUAAGCAGUGAAGAAGACUCCAUGGUUAAUACCCAUGGACGAUGACAUUAGCUGCAGAAUAAGCACCGGCUAACUCUGUGCCAGCAGCCGCGGUAAUACAGAGGGUGCAAGCGUUAAUCGGAAUUACUGGGCGUAAAGCGAGCGUAGGUGGCUUGAUAAGUCAGAUGUGAAUGCCCCGGGCUUAACCUGGGAACGGGAUCUGAUACUGUUAGGCUAGAGUAGGUGAGAGGAAGGUAGAAUUCCAGGUGUAGCGGUGAAAUGCGUAGAGAUCUGGAGGAAUACCGAUGGCGAAGGCAGCCUUCUGGCAUCAUACUGACACUGAGGUUCGAAAGCGUGGGUAGCAAACAG
rnacentral:rRNA from 1 species